GUGGACAUCUGACAAUAGACGGAAGCGGAGAGAGAGAAUGCUCUGCUGCCGGCUUUGAAGAUGGAGGAAGGAGCCGGAACAAAGGUGGGCGAAGAGUGUGGCUCCAGCUGGUGCCGAGGCAAGGAGACCACUGCGCCCCUCCAGUCUCCCGGGGAGCCCUGCCCUGCUCACACCUCCAUGUGGGCCCCUUAUGACUCUUUUCAGAUUUAUGACCGCCAGUGCUGUCAGAGAACAAGUUUCUGUUGCUUCAAGUCACUACGUUUGUGAUAAUUUGUUACAGCCACAAAAGGAAAUUAAUCAAGAGGAUAAGUCACUCGCCUAUGACAACUUCCCAGGUUACCAGCUAACCUUUGAGGACACCAGCUGCUUCUCGUCAGGAAGCACCGGGAGCCACUCCCCUCUUCCCGACUCCAGACUCCAGACUGGGGGACCGGCUCUCCCUUCUUCCCACGUCUCCUGGACCAAGCGGCUCUGCAUCCACCCAGGAAGGAGGUUGGGAACUAAGUGGCCUAGAACCUUGCCAGGGUCUCACUGUGUGACCUCGGAGCCUUGAGGUUUCUUGCAAGAACCUGAGGGGCGUCUCCGGAGUCCAAGAAUACCGGCGGGACCGACGGAGUCUGCUCAGCCCAGCCUAAGGAGGAAGUUCCACUUUCAUCUGUUCAGUUCUGGGCUCAAGAGGGAGCCGUUUGGAGGAAGAGUUCGGUGGCGAGAACUGGUGGAGUAGAUGGAGGCGGCCAGCACAGCCAGCCUGGAGAUGCCGAGGCCGCCCCCGAACCUCUGCCCACGCUGCCGUGCCCACCGGACGUCAUUCGCACUCCUCCAGGAAAGUGGUCCUCGAUCUUCUCCCAACAGCCCUCCCACCUCCAGCCCUGAGUCCAGUUCUUGAAUUCUGUGUGUGUGUGUGUGUGUGUGACAGCUCCACACUCAGGGCUACUGGCCAUCCUUCCAGACAACUCAGAUUUCCCUAAAUUGUGCACCUCAACCAAAUAAAACAGCCAG
rnacentral:lncRNA from 1 species